CCUACGGGGAGCAGCAGUGAGGAAUAUUGGUCAAUGGUCGGGAGACUGAACCAGCCAAGCCGCGUGAGGGAGGAAGGUACAGAGUAUCGUAAACCUCUUUUGUCAGGGAACAAAGGCGGGGACAUGUCCCCGGCUGAGUGUACCUGAAGAAAAAGCAUCGGCUAACUCCGUGCCAGCAGCCGCGGUAAUACGGAGGAUGCGAGCGUUAUCCGGAUUUAUUGGGUUAAAAGGGUGCGCAGGCGGUCUGUUAAGUCAGCGGUCAAAGCCCGGGGCUCAACCCCGGCCCGCCGUUGAAACUGGCAGUCUCGAGUGGGAGAGAAGUAGGCGGAAUGCGCGGUGUAGCGGUGAAAUGCAUAGAUAUCGCGCAGAACUCCGAUUGCGAAGGCAGCAUGCCGGCUCCACACUGACGCUGAGGCACGAAAGCGUGGGUAUCGAACAGGAUUAGAUACCCCUGUAGUC
rnacentral:rRNA from 1 species